AUGCUGCUGGUCCAUCCUAAAGCUCAUCACCUUAAUUUUGUUGGUUACGUUUCAACAGGUCAGCUCCCUGAACCUGCUCAGGCUUGGUCCCGUAAGAACAAGCACCAAGACUACCAAUCUCUGUCACAUGAUGGAUGUGCAAACACUCCUGCGUGUUGCUGUGUGAAGCUCACAGAAAGCACGGUGCAGGAAUGCUGUAAUUCAGAUGCAGCAAGCAACACAUCACAUGGGCCCUUCAGUUACACCUACCAUGUUAAGCUGCACUGUUCCUGCAAAAUCAGAAUUAGAAGUGAGGACUUCUCUUUCAACAUAUCAGUCAUGCAAGGCCAAGCGAGAUGCAGGGAAGGGAGCAGAGCUGGCAGGAGGAGCAGCUAUAUUUACAGAGCCAACGAAAAGCAACAUUGGCCACAAGGGUACCUCAGCUUGGAGGCAACGGUUCAUUUUUCUAAGAACAGCAUGCUGUUUGCUUGAAUCUGUUCAUUAUUCAGCUUUCUCUCAGACAGUUUAUAAGUAG
rnacentral:lncRNA from 1 species